rnacentral:rRNA from 1 species
UACAGAGGUCUCAAGCGUUGUUCGGAUUUAUUGGGCGUAAAGGGUGCGUAGGCGGCAGCGCAAGUCAGGUGUGAAAUCCCGGGGCUCAACCCCGGAACUGCACUUGAUACUGCGUUGCUUGAGUACUGGAGAGGAGACUGGAAUUUACGGUGUAGCAGUGAAAUGCGUAGAUAUCGUAAGGAAGACCAGUGGCGAAGGCGAGUCUCUGGACAGUUACUGACGCUGAGGCACGAAGGCCAGGGGAGCAAACGGG